rnacentral:piRNA from 1 species
UCGAAUGAGUACUUUAUGAUU